UACGUAGGGGGCAAGCGUUGUCCGGAAUCAUUGGGCGUAAAGCGCGUGUAGGCGGUUCAGUAAGUCUGCUGUGAAAGUCCAGGGCUCAACCCUGGGAUGCCGGUGGAUACUGCUGGGCUAGAGUACGGAAGAGGCGAGUGGAAUUCCUGGUGUAGCGGUGAAAUGCGCAGAUAUCAGGAAGAACACCCGUGGCUAAGGCGGCUCUCUAGUACGGUACUGACGCUGAGGUGCGAAAGCGUGGGGAGCAAACAGG
rnacentral:rRNA from 1 species